UAAGGAAUAUUGCUCAAUGGGAGAAAUCCUGAAGCAGCAACGCCGCGUGGAGGAUGAAGGGUCUAUGACUUGUAAACUCCUGUAAAGAAGGAAAAAAUUCCCAUUAGAUGGGAGCUGAUGGUACUUCUGGAGUAAGCCCAGGCUAACUACAUGCCAGCCGCCGCGGUAAUACGUAGGUGGCAAGCGUUGUCCGGGUUUACUGGGCGUAACGGAUGCGUAGGCGGAUGCUUAAGUCAGAUGUGGAAUUCCCGGGCUUAACUUGGGAACUGCAUUUGNAACUGGGUAUCUAGAGUGCGGGAGAGGAAAGUGGAAUUCCUAGUGUAGCGGUGAAAUGCGUAGAGAUUAGGAAGAACACCAGUGGCGAAGGCGACUUUCUGGACCGUAACUGACGCUGAGGCAUGAAAGCGUGGGGAGCAAACA
rnacentral:rRNA from 1 species